AAACCCUGAUCCAGCAAUGCCGCGUGAGUGAAGAAGGCCUUCGGGUUGUAAAGCUCUUUUGUCAGGGAAGAAACACCGGCUCUAACACAGUCCGGGAAUGACGGUACCUGAAGAAUAAGCACCGGCUAACUACGUGCCAGCAGCCGCGGUAAUACGUAGGGUGCGAGCGUUAAUCGGAAUUACUGGGCGUAAAGCGUGCGCAGGCGGUUAUACAAGACAGGCGUGAAAUCCCCGGGCUUAACCUGGGAAUGGCGCCUGUGACUGUAUAGCUAGAGUGUGUCAGAGGGGGGUAGAAUUCCACGUGUAGCAGUGAAAUGCGUAGAUAUGUGGAGGAAUACCAAUGGCGAAGGCAGCCCCCUGGGAUAACACUGACGCUCAUGCACGAAAGCGUGGGGAGCAAACAGGAUUAGAUACCCUGGUAGUCCACGCCCUAAACGAUGCUGACUAGUUGUUCGGGAUUUACAUCCUGAGUAACGUAGCUAACGCGUGAAGUCAGCCGC
rnacentral:rRNA from 1 species